UUUGUUCCUGAGAUAAAUUAGAGGACUCUACUGUAGGCUUUCAAGUAGUUUUAUUCCACGAUCCUCCCCAUACACCAGAAGAGUUAAGCUAGAAGCAGAGCUGUAACUAUGGGAAGGUAAUCUGGAUUUUGUUGCAGAACCUGGAAAUUUUUAAGAUGGAAAGAACUGAACGUGGUACCCAGUUACCAAGAAUGUGGGGAGUUUUUUUGGAUUAGACCUGUGAUCUAUAAUUUUCUUGAUGUUAGAACUCCCCAUCAUGGAAAAGCCCUCAGCCAUAUUAGAAAUGAUUCUUUCUUUGAAUGAGGACUAGACUUUGGUAGAUCCAGAAGAGAAUAUGGAGUUUUUGUGGAUGAUUAAAUUUGGCAUUCAGUGAGAAAAUCUAUGGACUCAAUCUUGCAGAAUGGCUUUGUAAUUCCAGCUGUUGCCCUAGGUAAGUGAAUCCAGUUCCUCUAGGUUGGGGAAAAGAGAAGCUUAGAAAGCUUAAGCAGGGCCAAAUUGUGUCUAAUCUUGAAUGCCCAGCUAGUGUGUGUCCAUUAUUCUUUGCAUAAUGGAGAGCCA
rnacentral:lncRNA from 1 species